GACGAACGCUGGCGGCGUGGAUUAGGCAUGCAAGUCGAACGGUAUCAUCCUUUCGGGGGUGAGAGAGUGGCGAACUGGUGAGUAACACGUAGGUUAUCUACCCUCAAGACGGGGACAACCCAGGGAAACUUGGGCUAAUACCGGAUGUGAGCAACUUUUAGUUGUUUGAAAGGUGGCGUAAGCUGUCGCUUGGGGAUGAGCCUGCGUCCUAUUAGUUAGUUGGUGAGGUAACGGCUCACCUAGGCAAUGAUAGGUAGGCGGCCUUAACGGGUGGUCGCCCACACUGGGAUUGAGAUACGGCCCAGACUCCUACGGGAGGCAGCAGUCGAGAAUAGUCUACAAUGGUCGGAAGACUGAUAGUGCGACGCCGCGUGAACGAUGAAUCCCUUCGGGGUGUAAAGUUCUUUUAUAUGUGAGCAGUGCCCUUUAUAUUGAAUAGUAUAGAGGGAGGAUUUAAGCGUAUGAAUAAGCAACGGCUAACUCCGUG
rnacentral:rRNA from 1 species